UGUUAAGGGCCCUGCCGACCUUGUAAAGU
rnacentral:piRNA from 1 species